GGAGGGGGCGAGCGUUAUUCGGAAUCAUUGGGCGUAAAGGGCAGGUAGGCGGCUUUGUAUGUCCAAUGUGAAAGCCCUCGGGCUCAACCGAGGAAUUGCAUUGGAAACUGCAGGGCUUGAGUCCGGGAGAGGGAAGCGGAAUUCCCAGUGUAGCGGUGAAAUGCGUAGAUAUUGGGAGGAACACCAGUGGCGAAGGCGGCUUCCUGGACCGGUACUGACGCUGAUCUGCGAAAGCCAGGGGAGCAAACGGGAUUAGAUACCCCGGUAGUCCUGGCUGUAAACGAUGAGCACUUGGUGUGGCGGGUAUCGACCCCUGCUGUGCCGACGCUAACGCAUUAAGUGCUCCGCCUGGGGAGUACGGUCGCAAGGCUG
rnacentral:rRNA from 1 species